UGAGUUUCCUUUUUAGCAUUUCUUCAGUAAGGUUAUCUUUUUGAGUUUGUUAUAUUUACUAGUCGAUUGAUUUAAGGUGUGUGGUUAUUAGCAGCCUUUUUACUGAUGAAAAGUUGAAAUUUGAGUGCUAUCGUCCAAUGAAAACUUUAGCUCUGGACCCAGAUUAUUCACGGAAAUCAUCAAGAAGAUAUGUUGCUGGUGGUUUAACUGGUCAACUUUUUUUGAAUUCGAAAACCUGGCAAUGGUUAUUCUAAACAGGUAUUACAUGAUGGAGAAGGUCCAACACAUGCGGUCAAAUGGACGUAUGGCAUGGCGAAUGAUGCACGUAUGACAUUCAUUGAGAGGCUUCAGGGAAGUCCACGUCCUGAACUUCUGCUUCCUCAUUUAGUUCGGCAGAUGCUAACAAGGAUGUACGCACAUAGGAUGACAUAAUGUUGGUCAUUGGUUGGGUAACAUGUGUAAAGAUUGUUGCAAUCAGAACUAAUGCAUCUGGAGCAAAUGGAGUGCAAAAGACUGUUCAAGCAUCAAGCACGAAGUAUGUGGAUAUUGUAGCAAAUGGAGUGCAAUCCAAAAUUGCUUGUAACGUGCCAUGUUUCAUUGUUCAACUGAUUAUACUAUGUAUUGUUGUGGUUUGG